GGGUUAAUAGCUUAAUCGGUAAAGUAUUUGUUUGUCAUACAAAUGGAUGCACGUUCAAAUCGUGUUUAACUCG
rnacentral:tRNA from 1 species